ensembl:lncRNA
GCGGUCUGCUGUGCGCGUAAAUCUGCGCGUUUGUUUCCGUUCACAACACAUGGAGAGACACGGAAGCGUUUGAUCAGGACACAAGCAGACGCGGAGCGACGCGAGCCGAAGGAACCAGACUGACGAGAAGAGCCAGACCUGCAGCGGGAGCAUAUCCUCUAAUCUCUGAUCCAGUCCUGCAUCUUUCUCUGGACGAUCACGGCAUCAAUUACUCCCUUAUUAUCUGAUUUUCUCCCAAAAAGUGUGCCGGCA